AUCUCCACCACUAUCACUAGCAGGUCUACUGGACUGAGUGGAUACAUCUCCACCACUAUCACUAGCAGGUCUACUGGACUGAGUGGAUACAUCUCCACCACUAUCACUAGCAGGUCUACUGGACUGAGUGGAUACAUAUCCACCACUAUCACAAGCAGGCCUACUGGACUGAGUGGAUACAUCUCCAUGUGUGGAGGUACUGGCUCCACCACUAUCACUAGCAGGUCUACUGGACUGAGUGUAUACAUCUCCACCACUAUCACUAGCAGGCCUACUGGACUGAGUGGAUACAUCUCCACGUGUGGAGGUACUGGCUCCACCACUAUCACUAGCAGGUCUACUGGACUGAGUGGAUACAUCUCCACCACUAUCACUAGCAGGCCUACUGGACUGAGUGGAUACAUGUCCAUGUGUGGAAGUACUGGCUCCACCACUAUCACUAGCAGGUCUACUGGAAUGACUGGACACAUCUCCACCACUAUCACUAGCAGGUCUACUGGACUGAGUGGAUACAUCUCCAUGUGUGGAGGUACUGGCUCCACCACUAUCACUAGCAGGUCUACUGGACUGAGUGGAUACAUCUCCACCACUAUCACUAGCAGGUCUACUGGACUGAGUGGAUACAUCCCCACCACUAUCACUAGCAGGUC
rnacentral:lncRNA from 1 species